rnacentral:lncRNA from 1 species
UGUAAUGUAUUUUUGCAACAGGAACAUAUUCAACAUGUUACCAAAUUAUCAUCACUACCUGGUAAACUAUGAAAUAACUUAAAACUUUUAUUUUUUUAUGAAUUGCUAAAAUGCAUUAAAUAUAAAAAAACAGCAUAAUGCUAGUGUAGCUUUCUGAAUCCACCAACAUAGGUGCAAAAACUCAUUUUCUUUUCUGAUGGAAGAGAAGAGAACAAUGGCAAGAUUAAGAUUUUCCGAAUGGCUUCAGGUAAUUUCUUAAGAUUAUCACGCACAAGACAUCCAAUAGAUUCAAUCUCUUCUUCACCAUACGUAAAUACCAUGUCCCGCCUCCAAAUGUAUCUAAUAGUAACACAAUGAAGUUGUCAAGAGCUAAAAAAAAUUAAUAAGUACCAACAAGAAAAUAGAAGCGCAGUAGACCCUAUGGCCCCUGUUACUAGUUUGAUUGAUUAUGCAGAGAUGUUUUACCACUUGCUUUUAAUUUUUGUGUUCAAAUGUCAUUCUAAACCCAGUAGUUUUGUUAGCAUGGGCAUGUAGGAAUCAAGCUUAGGCGUUUAAACACUGGAAAAAAGAAACACAACAGAACUACUAGCUGUUGAUGUGUUUCAAAUUAGAUAAAGUGCUAAGGUUGCUAGAGGACAUGGUCUGAAAGUACAAGUCUGAGGAGAUCAUGGACUCCUCUAGGAGGUGAUUGAGGACUUGAAGUUGAGGUUUAAGUUUUCAACUUGUGGCCAUCGGUGAUACCUACUUCUGUCGUGAACAUGAACCUAGGUCACAAUGGUGAAGAGUGGUCGGUGUACUGUUUUUCUAAUGUAGCAGGUCAUGCAGGGAGACGCUAUGGCUUACUGGUGGUGGUAGUCGCUAGAUGGCUAAGAAUGAAGAAGACGACACAUACUAGAAGAUGUGAGGGAAAGAUGUAAUUCGGUUUUUGAUGGUGAAAGGUUGUUCUCAGUGAAAACACGAAACGAUUUGGUACGCAGUUCGUGGCCUUCUGAGCGAAUCCCUAAUUUGUAAGCCAAUCAACACAUACAAAAUUAGACAUGAAUUUAAUACGUACUUAUACUUGAAAUUAUGGCUUGAUGCUCCCACAUACUUGAAAUUAAGGAUUGACACUUCCAUUGAUGGCCAUCGGUGAUAAGAGGAGGGGGUGUGGGUGAGGAUUUUUCUGUCGUGAACAAGGGGAAAGCGGACCGAUGUUGCAAUGGUUAGGAUUUUUUAAGGCGUGAAGGACGGCGAUGUAGCUUGCCGGUGGUGGUAGCCGGUAGAGGGCUAAGAGGGAAGAAGGUGAGGCCGUGAGGGAGACCGGAAGAUGGGAAGGAGAGAUGAACUCGAUUUUUAGGGGAGGAGAAAGAUACUAUGGAUGAUCGAGGAAUCGAUUUUGACUGAUUAAUGAUUUCUAGAACAAAG